CGCGCAGCUCGUCCGGCCCGCCCGCAGGCCAGCUUCUCUCGGGAGCCUCCACCCAGGCGCAUGGCUCCAUGAAGCAAGAGGAGGAGGCAGAGCGCGAGAGAUCCCGUCCGCCCCAGCCGCGUCUGGGCCAGGAGAAAAGCAAAACCAUAUUCCUGCUGCUGUCAGUUUUGAUGCACUGAGAAAACUUCAGAGACCUAAGCUUUUUCCAGAGAAGAGAAGCUUUACUGGUGUUCCAGCCCUAAGGCUCAUAUGACAUUAACAGACAAGACACUUUUCAGAAAGACAGGCAACGUGUUGGACCUUCCGGAGCUUCUCAGAAGACAGAGGGUUUUCUUUUGAGUUACAAGCUAUUGAGGCACUCCAGAGUGACGGCAUGUGAUCCCCCUGACACAAGAAACAGGCCCAGAUAACACACCGUUCAGACCGACAGCAGUUCUGGUUAUGCUGCAGUACAUCAGAAAAGUGCUCUUAUCCAUCCACAGUUCUUAUCACAGUUACUUAUGCAUAUAUUCAUUUUUUAUAUAAAAGAAUCUUGAAUCGGUCACUUAAAUAUUGAAUCUCAAUAAUAAAAAAUACUAAAAGUAUA
rnacentral:lncRNA from 1 species